rnacentral:rRNA from 1 species
CACGUAGGGCGCAAGCGUUGUCCGGAAUUACUGGGCGUAAAGCGUGCGCAGGCGGUUCGCUGUGUCCUGUGUGAAAGCCCCGGGCCUUAACCUGGGAAUGGCAUGGGAAACUGGCGAGCUUGAGUGCGGCAGAGGGGGGUGGAAUUCCGCGUGUAGCAGUGAAAUGCGUAGAGAUGCGGAGGAACACCGAUGGCGAAGGCAGCCCCCUGGGUCGACACUGACGCUCAGGCACGAAAGCGUGGGGAGCAAACAGG